CCUACGGGAGGCAGCAGUAGGGAAUAUUGCUCAAUGGGGGAAACCCUGAAGCAGCAACGCCGCGUGGAGGAUGAAGGUUUUAGGAUUGUAAACUCCUUUUGUUAGAGAAGAUUAUGACGGUAUCUAACGAAUAAGCACCGGCUAACUCCGUGCCAGCAGCCGCGGUAAUACGGAGGGUGCAAGCGUUAAUCGGAAUCACUGGGCGGAAAGAGCGCGGAGGCGGGAUAGCAAGUCAGAUGUGAAAUCCUAUGGCUUAACCAUAGAACUGCAUUUGAAACUGUUAUUCUAGAGUAUGGGAGAGGUAGGUGGAAUUCUUGGUGUAGGGGUAAAAUCCGUAGAGAUCAAGAGGAAUACUCAUUGCGAAGGCGACCUGCUAGAACAUAACUGACGCUGAUGCGCGAAAGCGUGGGGAGCAAACAGGAUUAGAUACCCUAGUAGUC
rnacentral:rRNA from 1 species